UACGGGGGGAGCAAGCGUUGGUCGGAUUUACUGGGCGUAAAGGGCGCGUAGGCGGUCAGCACAAGUCAGUUGUGAAAUCUCCGGGCUUAACCCGGAAAGGUCAACUGAUACUGUGCGACUAGAGUGCGGAAGGGGCAACUGGAAUUCUCGGUGUAGCGGUGAAAUGCGUAGAUAUCGAGAGGAACACCUGCGGCGAAGGCGGGUUGCUGGGCCGACACUGACGCUGAUGCGCGAAAGCCAGGGGAGCGAACGGG
rnacentral:rRNA from 1 species